rnacentral:rRNA from 1 species
UACGUAGGGUGCGAGCGUUGUCCGGAAUUAUUGGGCGUAAAGAGCUCGUAGGCGGUUUGUCACGUCUGCUGUGAAAUCCCGAGGCUCAACCUCGGGCCUGCAGUGGGUACGGGCAGACUAGAGUGAUGUAGGGGAGACUGGAAUUCCUGGUGUAGCGGUGAAAUGCGCAGAUAUCAGGAGGAACACCGAUGGCGAAGGCAGGUCUCUGGGCAUUAACUGACGCUGAGGAGCGAAAGCGUGGGGAGCAAACAGG